rnacentral:sRNA from 1 species
GAAACAUCAUCUUUAGAUGGAGAAAACAGAAGAAUUCUGAUCAACACAGACAUUGGAUUGCCCAAUGGCUUAACCUUUGACCCUUUCUCUAAACUGCUCUGCUGGGCAGAUGCAGGAACCAAAAAACUGGAGUGUACACUACCCGAUGGAACUGGACGGCAUGUCAUUCAAAACAACCUCAAGUACCCCUUUAGCAUCGUAAGCUAUGCAGAUCACUUCUACCACACAGACUGGAGGAGGUGAGCCCCACACAUUCUGGACCAGCCUGAAAAGGCCAACUGUUCCAGAGGACACACCACUUGUUUUACCAAAAGUCAGUACGUGACUUGACUCAUUAAGCCCUCUGAGGCUUUUGUUUCAUCACCUCCUCAUUGGCAGAUAAGAUCCUUCAAGGAUGUUUUUCAUCCUUUCAUGUUUUUGAAAUCAUCCUUUUACUUCACCCAGAAAUCGAAUGGUAUUGCUCACAUAUAGCUUAAAAAGUAGCAAAGCUAUUUGAUAACUGUCUCAAAAGGGACCAUAUUAAUCUAAAUAUGUUCUUUAGAGAAUAAGACUACCCUUGAUACCAUGAGCUAUAUUACAGGGCUUAAGUUGGCUUUUGACACUGUGGACAUAUUGUCUGAGGGACCAAAAAAUACUAUUUAGACUAGUUCUCAAAUGAGGAACUGCGGAACAUUAAAAAGUCUAGGCCCUUUACCCCAUGCCCUACAAAUCUGAUUUGAUAGCUCAUCAUGUGAUUCUAACAUGCAGCUAGAGAUGAGCAAUGGAUUUAGAGCAGUGGUCUUCAAACUUCAGCAUGGCUUUAGCAUCAGCCCUUGGACAGAGAAGGCUGCCAGAAAUUUUCCUCUAUUGCAACUGAUUUUUUUGUAGCUAACUUCUUUAUCUAGUAAAUGACUCUCCCUGAAUUCACUCUUCCUUUCCGUUACCAGGGAUGGUGUUGUAUCAGUAAAUAAACAUAGUGGCCAGUUUACUGAUGAGUAUCUCCCAGAACAACGAUCUCACCUCUACGGGAUAACUGCAGUCUACCCCUACUGCCCAACAGGAAGAAAGAUGUAAAGGAAGACUUGGAGUUUACAAUCAGAACCUGGACCCUAAAGAACAGUGACUGCAAAGGCAAAGAAAGUAAAAAAGGAAUUGGCCAUUAGGCGUUCCUGAACAUACAAGAUGAACAUUUUUUAGUGCAAAAAGACUUUUGUGAAAAGCUGAUACCUCAAUCUUUACUACUGUAUUUUUAAAAAUGAAGGUUGUUAUUGCAAGUUUAAAAAGGUAACAGAAUUUUAACUGUUGCUUAUUAAAGCAACUUCUUGUAAAC